rnacentral:rRNA from 1 species
AGAGUUUGAUCAUGGCUCAGAACGAACGCUGGCGGCGUGCCUUACACAUGCAAGUCGUGCGCAGUAGCAAUACUGAGUGGCGCACGGGUGAGUAACGCGUGGGUAAUCUACCCUACAGCCUGGGAUAACCGGCCGAAAGGCUGGCUAAUACCGGAUAAGACCACACUUCCUUUGGGUAGCGUGGGAAAAGCGGAGGACCUUCGGGUUUCGCACCGUUUGAUGAGCUCGCGUCCCAUUAGCUAGUUGGCGGUGUAAAAGACCACCAAGGCGACGAUGGGUAGCUGGUCUGAGAGGAUGAUCAGCCACACUGGCACUGAAACACGGGCCAGACUCCUACGGGAGGCAGCAGUGGGGAAUAUUGCGCAAUGGGCGAAAGCCUGACGCAGCAACGCCGCGUGAGUGAUGAAGGUCUUCGGAUCGUAAAGCUCUGUCGGCAGGGAAGAAUACUCGGAUGGCUAACAUCCAUUCGGGCUGACGGUACCUGCAAAGGAAGCACCGGCUAACUCUGUGCCAGCAGCCGCGGUAAUACAGAGGGUGCGAGCGUUGUUCGGAAUUAUUGGGCGUAAAGAGCGCGUAGGCGGUUUGCUAAGUCUGAUGUGAAAGCCCUCGGCUUAACCGAGGAAGUGCAUUGGAUACUGGCAGGCUUGAGUGUGAGAGAGGGAAGUGGAAUACCUGGUGUAGCGGUGAAAUGCGUAGAUAUCAGGUGGAACACCGGUGGCGAAGGCGGCUUCCUGGAUCAUAACUGACGCUGAGGCGCGAAAGCAUGGGGAGCAAACAGGAUUAGAUACCCUGGUAGUCCAUGCCGUAAACGAUGGGUGCUAGGUGUUGCAGACUUCAACCUCUGCAGUGCCGCAGCUAACGCAUUAAGCACCCCGCCUGGGGAGUACGGUCGCAAGACUAAAACUCAAAUGAAUUGACGG